rnacentral:rRNA from 1 species
GAUGAAUGCUGGCGGCGUGCCUAACACAUGCAAGUCGAGCGGUAAGGCCCUUCGGGGUACACGAGCGGCGGACGGCUGAGUAACGCGUGGGAAUUUGACCCAAAGUGAGGAAUAACUGCCCGAAAGGGUAGCUAAUGCCGCAUAUGGUCUUCGGAUUAAAGGAUUUAUCCGCUUUGGGAGGAGCCCGCGUUGGAUUAGGUUGUUGGUGAGGUAAUGGCUCACCAAGCCGACGAUCCAUAACUGGUCUGAGAGGAUGAUCAGUCAGACUGGAACUGAGACACGGUCCAGACUCCUACGGGAGGCAGCAGUGAGGAAUCUUCCACAAUGGGCGAAAGCCUGAUGGAGCAACGCCGCGUGAAGGAUGAAGGUCUUCGGAUUGUAAACUUCUUUUAUGAGUGAAGAAUAUGACGGUAACUCAUGAAUAAGCACCGGCUAACUACGUGCCAGCCGCCGCCGUAA